UGUUCGCCCCGGCCCCGGCGAGUUAAAAAUGGGGUGAGCCCGGGGUGUAAGUGCCUGUGGGGCCGGGCAAGGAGUUUUCAGGCCUAGUUUGGGCUCUAAAGUUGCCUUUUGGUGUGUUGUGUUUCAGCCGAAGCGUCAGAGAUCUUUCCCGGUGCUGGGCCUGUGAGUUUGAGGAGUAGCUGGAUGUUUAUCUGUGACCAAGUCCAAGCAGCCUGACGUCCGUGGCUGUGCCAUGAAGACCUUCUGUCCUUGCUCUCCACAAGCAGAGGAGGCUGUGGUUCACCAUCAUGAAUACAGCAGAACAAAUCUGACCCAGGGAGGGAGCAGGCUCACUACGACAUUCGUCACCCCACAGGCGAAGAAGAAGGAGGAGGAGGAGAAGCAGAUCUUCUGGACUCUCCCACCCCUUUCCGUGAGCAGGUUGGAGCAGGGGAGCGGCGUUUCCACCCACCGUAGAUCAGCAUCAGGCCGGCGUGGGCUGCAGCAGGACACGGCUCUUGCAGAGCACGGGUGAAGUCACCGUUUGCCUUCUGGCUCCAGGGGUUGUCAAGCUGGGUAGGCUGGGAUUGGAAAUGAAGAAAUUUCUGAUUUCCUGUUGAGCACUGAGCUGUGAUCUCCUACCCAUCACACACAUCUCCAUUUUGGGAGACGGGUCUGGACCACCUUCUCCAGCAACAGCACAAGCACCAAUGGAGAACUAAAACCACUCUGAUGUUUUAUGAAUUCUGGAUGUGUUCCUCUCCGGGGAUCCAAAGAAGCUGUGGAGCAUUUGGAGCACAUGCGCUUCCUCCUGACCUUUCGCACAAGAGGGAGUUUGCAGCUGAUUACUGUAAUAUCUCUCAUUGUGAGAUUCUAUUACAUCUCUUUUUAAAAAAAAAAAAGUUUAAUUUUCCAGAAGCUACCAUCCUUGUCUGUGGUUUAAGAAAAAAGCACAUGGAUCUUUGCCAUUAUAAGCAACAUUUUUAUCUGCAAUCCCCAGGUGAUUCCAUGGUGGUCAAUCCAUUGGGCUCCCCCCUGGGGGGGCACCGACACUCCUGCCAGCGCCGGUGCUGCCACUUACUCCACGGUGCUGCUUCCAAAUAUGUAAAAUAAUAUCAACCAAAAUUCAACAAUUUCAUUUGCCUUCUAGCAACAGUAAUAAAAGAUGCAGCCUGACAAGAUGGCCUUGUACAAAGACACGCUACAGCGAGUGCCCAAAGGGUUCAAGGAGACAACAAUCCUCACUGAGGAUUACACUUAGAUUUUUGUUUUGCUGGCUGCACCAGAACAGGAGAUUUUCCUCUCGGAGACAAAUUGUCAAUGUGUUAAUUUUGUUUGAGGUUUUGGUCUACCUUGAGAAGGAUAAUUAAAACGCUUCGCAACAGUUUUAAUAGUGAAAACAAAAAUAAUACCAUGGGUUUUACACGAGUAGCCUGGGAAUAGAAAACAUUGGGCUUUUCUGCCAAUAGAGUAGAAAAUUUACUAUUAUGAGUCAAGAAAACCCGGUCGUUUCAAUAAUACCCAAUUCAUGUAUUGCUCUUAACUUAAUAAAUCUUCUUUCAUGAAGAUAAAAGGCCUUCUAAAGUGCACUUUUGAGAGCAAUGAUUAUGCCAGGGUUUUUUUAGGAGGCAGAAAAAGACAAGGUGCAGCUCACUCCAGAAGAAUUUCAACUCCGAGGAUCU